UUUGUGUGUCGCCACCGAAGGAGAACGCCGUGGAUUACCACAACUAUAAAGGAUGGUACAGCAUCAUACUUCUGGCGUUGGUGGAUCAUAUGUACCGAUUUCGGUACAUAAAUAUUGGAGCUCCAGGCAGAUGCCACGACGCCAACGUGCAUGCAAGGUCGAGAUUGUCUACGUUGGUCGAAGACGCAUACUUCUCAUUGCCCGUAGCUGUGAUUGAGGAUGUUGAGGUGAAGCCAAUUAUUCUGUGUGACCAGGCAUUUCCACUGACUACUGACCUCCUGAAGCCAUUCUCAAAUGCCUUACCCGACACACACGAAGCUGCUUUCAACUAUAACCUAUCAAGGACGAGACGCAUUGUUGAAAAUGCAUUUGGAAGGCUGAAAGCUCGCUUUAGGUUUAUUAUGAAGAGAAUGGAGUGCACCUUGCCCAAUGCAAAGCAUGCAAUUAGGGCAUUGUGUAUUUUACACAAUAUUUGUGAAGGUCUUAGAGACACUGUGGAACAGCAGCGGGAAAAUGAAGCCACUGCAUUUGAUGCUCUGUAUGAGCAACCAUCACAUACUACCACUGCAUCCACUGCGUCAGGUCAUGAAGUCAGAGCUGCCCUUGCGCAAUAUUUCUGGAAACUGGCACAACAAAACACACAACAAACUAAAACCUCACAGUAGGAAGCAUACUUCGGGGUUUGUUUUUUAGUAUGCCUGAAGGAGUGUUCGGCGUCAGUUGAAGAGAUCACUUGAAGUAAAUGGAGAAAAUGGAAAACAGUCUAUUUCAAAAUACCACUAUUUUUCAGCAAUUUUUUCUAACGCCGCUAUUAAGCGUUCUUCCCGCUCGGCAGCAGCUUCAUAGAGCCUCAAUUGCCGCUCGCGCAUGCUAAGCUCCUUUUCUUUUGAUUUCUCCAAGCUGAGACAAAGCUGCUGCUGCUCCUCAACAACUUGUGUCAACAGCAACUGCUGGGAGGGCUGCCGUUUCUUCAGGGCCUGUUUUUCGGCUCUCUUGCGAGCUGCUGGUGGUGUUGGCGCUUGCGAGCCCUCGCUGUUGGACAUGGGCACCAGAGGUGAUGGGUUUUCACUGGCGGUGGCCGAGCCCUGUGUUGACGACAGAGCUUCGGCAUCUACAAGGGCUGCAUCACCCACCGAGGCGUCCUCGUUGCUGCCAAAAUCAUUUCCAUAUUCCAUGCUCGUGAUGAGCUGAAAAAAAAGACUACAAUAAAAAUGCAGUUCAUUGUUA
rnacentral:lncRNA from 1 species